AUGGGCAGCAGCUUUAGGCACUUGCUUGGCUCCGAAGGGGGCUUGCAGCCGGCCCAGCCCCAGCAUCCACUAAUUGCCUACGAAGAAGCUGUAGCACCUCUGGCACUAUUUCUGUGUUUAACCAAGACAUCUCUGGAAGUUCCAGAAAUCAGCAAUACUUCAGGAAGGGACAAGACCUGCCCAGAUGAACACAGGCACCCCUGGGAUGUUCCCUCUGUUCACCUUUGGAGUGUCAGUGGUCUGGGAUUGCUUCUGGGGAUGCUGCUCUCAAGGAGUCAGGAUUGCCCCGGCCACUUAUCCCAAGCUGAUCUCUGUCCUGGCAAGUGGCUGUGGGAUAAAAUUUGCUCACUACGUGCUCACUGGCAGAGAAACAAGGCUGAUAAAAGGAAAGAUGCUGCGAAUGCACGGCUUAAAUGA
rnacentral:lncRNA from 1 species